rnacentral:rRNA from 1 species
GUCUAUGGCCAUACCACCCUGAACGCGUCUGAUCUAGGAAGCUAAGCAGGGUCGGGCUGCCUAGUACUUGGAUGGGAGAAACAUUACAGCUUUAGUAAGUCAGGGGACCUGGUUUGGCUGUGGAGGCGCGGUGAACA